UUUGAUCAUGGCUCAGGAUGAACGCUGGCGGCAUGCCUAACACAUGCAAGUCGAACGAGACCUUCGGGUCUAGUGGCGCACGGGUGCGUAACGCGUGGGAACCUGCCUUAGGUUCGGAAUAACUCAGAGAAAUUUGAGCUAAUACCGGAUAAUGUCUUCGGACCAAAGAUUUAUCGCCUUUAGAUGGGCCCGCGUUGGAUUAGCUAGUUGGUGGGGUAAAGGCCUACCAAGGCGACGAUCCAUAGCUGGUCUGAGAGGAUGAUCAGCCACACUGGGACUGAGACACGGCCCAGACUCCUACGGGAGGCAGCAGUGGGGAAUAUUGGGACAAUGGGCGAAAGCCUGAUCCAGCAAUGCCGCGUGAGUGAUGAAGGCCUUAGGGUUGUAAAGCUCUUUUACCCGAGAUGAUAAUGACAGUAUCGGGAGAAUAAGCUCCGGCUAACUCCGUG
rnacentral:rRNA from 1 species